GACGAACGCUGGCGGCGUGCUUAACACAUGCAAGUCGAACGAAGAGCGAUGGAAGCUUGCUUCUAUCACUCUUAGUGGCGAACGGGUGAGUAACGCGUAAUCAACCUGCCCUUCAGAGGGGGACAACAGUUGGAAACGACUGCUAAUACCGCAUACGAUCUAAUCUCGGCAUCGAGGAUAGAUGAAAGGUGGCCCCUACAUGUAAGCUAUCACUGAAGGAGGGGAUUGCGUCUGAUUAGCUAGUUGGAGGGGUAACGGCCCACCAAGGCGAUGAUCAGUAGCCGGUCUGAGAGGAUGAACGGCCACAUUGGGACUGAGACACGGCCCAGACUCCUACGGGAGGCAGCAGUGGGGAAUCUUCCGCAAUAGACGAAAGUCUGACGGAGCAACGCCGCGUGAGUGAUGACGGCCUUCGGGUUGUAAAGCUCUGUUAAUCGGGACGAAAGGCCUUCUUGCGAAUAGUGAGAAGGAUUGACGGUACCGGAAUAGAAAGCCACGGCUAACUACGUG
rnacentral:rRNA from 1 species